CUGCACGACCUGUACUUCAGUCACCAGACACUCCUCCAGGCCGGCUUUGCCCGCCUCCCAGACCACCUGCAGAGACGAGAGGAGGCAGGGGUCACACUGGAAACAAGCGACGCUCGCGGACGCCCUCGAGGGCUCACCUUCUGCAGAUCACGAAGACACAGACCAGGGCCAGCAGCGUCCCCAGCGCGAUCAGCAGCGACGUCCGCCAGGCCACCUGAGUACCAGGACCGGGAGCGACUUCCGGACCUCCCAGCCCCAGUCUGGAACCCUAAGGGAGCGGAAAGACCACCAGGGAUCCCUGUCUGCCUGGUGCUCGGGACACGGGGAGCGCCAGGGACUUCCACUGUGCCCAGCAGGCCGGCAGAGACCGGGUUUCACCGUGUUAGCCGGGAUGGUCUCGAUCUCCUGACCUUGUGAUCCGCCCGCCUCGGUCUUUAUUACAAGGCCCAGGGGGUGUCUGUCAGUGGGACGACCUUGUUUCCCCUCCACGUCUCCUCUCGAUUGAGUAGCUGGAAGGAGGUUCUGUCUCUGACCUGUGGUUUGAAAGAAAAUAAAGAAGAGGGGCCAGAUACUUCAAAUUACUUCUCCUAUGCAUUUGGAGAGCGGGAGAGAAAAACACCAGGAAGGAAGAGGGAACAAAGAAACUCUACAGGCAGAGACACAGGACUGAGCCGCGUUGGGGGCACUGGGAGGAGUGAGCCUUGGGGUUGCACCCUCGGAGCCCCACUGUCCUGGGAGCAGCCUUCAGAACCACCCUUUUGUUCUCUGAAGUACCAGGCGUUCAGCUUUUCCAAGGACUGGCAGCUGCACAUCUUUGUCCCUGCCCCUUCCAUCUCUAGGCUCAGCCCCGCUGGGCAGCCUGGCCCACUCCCCACCCCUGCCCAGGGCCAACCCCUACUUCCCAUGCCCCCUCUGCCCACCUGCAGCACACUGGAGCCUUGGAGGCCCUCUCUGCAUCAUUCAAGAUGCAGACUCCUACACUUUGACCUGCACACAUCCUCCUGAAGCUUCCACUUCCUGGCCCCUGCCUGGCUUCUCACCUCCCCCACCUCCGCCCCCCAGGGGAUGUGCCGCCUCUCCCAGUGGCCCAGGACAUCCUCCACUUCCCGGGAACCCCAGGCACUUCCACAUCCUCAGACACAGUGAGAAGAUGACCCUCUCUCCAAGCCAGGAAGAGACCUCCCGAGGAGCCCAGCCAGCCAGCACGCUGACCUCCAACGUCCAGCCUCUGGAAAUGGGAUACCGAAGGCUGCGCUCCUGCCCCGCACCAGGAUGUGGGAACUUUGAGAACCGCUGGAGAGUCGAGAGAUGUCAUCGAAACGACACCCGAUACGUGUUCCCUGAGCAUCCGUUUUGUAGUGAAGACACUCGUACUGUUGACGCCUGCUGCGGUAAGCGGAGACAGGGCAGGGCGAUCAGGAGCAGCGUGAGCCAAAGGAGGACCAUCGGGAACGCAGCUCCGGAACGCAGGACAGAGGUGCCUGCUGCAGGAGAAACGAGAGUCAGGCAGCGGGGACUGGCUGUGAAACUGGGUUGCGGGUAAUGAAGGAUGCUUGCCCCUUCCAGAGCCUGGUGCUCACAGCAGAAGGAGCUGCUUCUGGAGGGAAAGCGGUGAACAUUGUCACGACCCCAAAAGGAGACUCCAGACCCAUUAAAGACCCGUCCUUCCUCUUCCCCAGCCUGUGGCAACCACUCAUCCACUUUCUGUCUCUGUGGAUUUGCCUGUAUCUGGACAUAGGGAAUAAAUGGAAUCAUACAGACACUAUGUAUCUUUUUGUAUCUGGCCUCUCUCAGGAAGCAUGAUGUCCUCAGCAUUCACCCACAUUGCCACCUGUGGCAGAGCCUCGUUCCUUUUCAUGGCUGUGUAAUAUUCCACCGUGUGGCUGGACCACAUUAUAUUUCUCCAUUCAUCUAUAGAUGGGUAUGAGGACUCUCUCCACCUCUUGGCUAGUGUGAAUAAAGCUGCUUAUUCCUUUUCAUGGCUGUGUAAUAUUCCACCGUGUGGCUGGACCACAUUAUAUUUCUCCAUUCAUCUAUAGAUGGGGUAUGAGGGCUGUCUCCACCUCUUGGCUAUUGUGAAUAAAGCUGCUUGUUCCUUUUCAUGGCUGUGUAAUAUUCCACUGUGUGGAUGGACAUUAUAUUUUUCCAUUCAUCUAUAGAUGGGUAUGAGGGCUGUCUCCACCUCUUGGCUAUUGUGAAUAAAGCUGCUUGUUCCUUUUCAUGGCUGUGUAAUAUUCCACUGUGUGGAUGGACAUUAUAUUUCUCCCUUCAUCUAUAGAUGGGGGUAUGAGGGCUGUCUCCACCUCUUGGCUAUUGUGAAUAAAGCUGCUUGUUCCUUUUCAUGGCUGUAUAAUAUUCCACUGUGUGUCUGGACCACAUUAUAUUUCUCCAUUCAUCUAUAGAUGGGUACGAGGGCUGUCUCCACCUCUUGGCUAUUGUGAAUAAAGCUGCUUGUUCCUUUUCAUGGCUGUAUAAUAUUCCACUGUGUGGCUGGACCACAUUAUAUUUCUCCAUUCAUCUAUAGAUGGGUAUGAGGGCUGUCUCCACCUCUUGGCUAUUGUGAAUAAAGCUGCUUGUUCCUUUUCAUGGCUGUGUAAUAUUCCACUGUGUGGCUGGACCACAUUAUAUUUAUCCAUUCGUCUAUAGAUGGGUAUGAGGGCUGUCUCCACCUCUUGGCUAUUGUGAAUAAAGCUGCUUGUUCCUUUUCAUGGCUGUGUAAUAUUCCACCGUGUGGCUGGACCACAUUAUAUUUAUCCAUUCGUCUAUAGAUGGGUAUGAGGGCUGUCUCCACCUCUUGGCUAUUGUGAAUAAAGCUGCUUGUUCCUUUUCA
rnacentral:lncRNA from 1 species